rnacentral:rRNA from 1 species
GUAGGGAAUAUUGCACAAUGGAGGAAACUCUGAUGCAGCGACGCCGCGUGAGUGAUGAAGGCCUUCGGGUCGUAAAGCUCUGUCGCAGGGGAAUAACACAAUGAAGGUACCCUGUAAGAAAGGAUCGGCUAACUUCGUGCCAGCAGCCGCGGUAAGACGAGGGAUCCUAGCGUUGUUCGGAAUCAUUGGGCGUAAAGCGGAUGUAGGUGGCUAUGUAAGUCAGAUGUGAAAGCCUGGGGCUCAACCCCAGAAGUGCAUUUGAUACUGCGUAGCUUGAGUGUCGGAGAGGUUACUAGAAUUGUUGGUGUAGUGGUGAAAUACGUAGAUAUCAACAGGAAUACCGGAGGCGAAGGCGGGUAACUGGCCGAACACUGACACUGAGAUCCGAAAGCGUGGGGAUCAAACAGGAUUAGAAACCCUAGAAGUCC